CACUCUGCCUUUCUGAUUCCAGAUUUUAAAUUAUUUUUAAUAGGUUGAAUUAUCUCCCACCUACACAGACUCCAACAGUCUGUUCUGGCUCUCCAUGUCCCGUCCUACCACACAAUGUUAACUAUGUGGGCUUCAGAGAUGUUGUCGGAAUAUCUUAAAAGGCCUGUACCACUGAUGAGGCUUUAUCCAGUCUUCUGCACUGACCCCAGUCUUUCGCAUGAGUGUUUGGUGGAGACCAAGGGGAAGAGCUGCUGGUUAUGUUUUUGUCUCCUGGCUAACUGGAACUCAGACUUUACGGUGAG